AUAUAUAAGUAUGUCAUUUUAUAUAAUUUGCCCCAUAUUAUAAAUGAGGAAUAAAUUAGCGAUGAUUAAAAUAAGCUUGUAGAUUUCUUUGACUCCAGUCUUUCGUUGUGAACGGACGUGUGACAAUUUAAAAAUGAAGUAUUUUAACUUGACGGUUUUCCUUUUAGUGGUCUUUUGUACUUUUAAUAUGGAAGUGAAAGCUUCUCUGGUGCCCAGAUCGCGUUUGCAAUGCAGUUAUUCAAAAUCCAAGCUGAUUCAAAAACUUCUGGCUGAACAAUCUAAAAUUGAUGGUUACAGCAACCAACACGACGAAGAACUGAGGUUGAUACAAACGCUCUGUACCAACCAAAAGUGAGAAGAAUAAAUACCAUGGAGAAUAAAAUGACGAGCGGAGAUGUCAUAAUGGAAACGGAAAAUCUCUCAAGAAAGUAGCGAUAAAAUGCGGGUGUUCGGGGGACGAGGAACGUAACCAGCUCCACCUAUUUUUUUCUUUUUUAGUUAGCAGCGGUGAGGGAGUGUCCGACUCUUACUGACUAAAACCGUCGUGUUCCAUCGUAGGCCAUUUAAGUACUAGGGCCGCGGUAACUCUUUCGAACAAUCCCGCAGCCCCGGCAGGCUUUGGCCCUGCUGACCAGCUCCGCCCUUAUACGCCUUCUUUGGAACCCACCAUUUUUUUCAAACCAAAUCACCAAUCAAUCAAGACCAAUCUUUGACAGAUGUGUCAAGGAACCUCGCGUUAGUUCACCCGUAACGGAGCGUUUUGGUCAUACCCAACAGUCGUAGUUGACCUAUGAAUUAUGAUAUCUCUGCUCAUCUUUCCUUAUUCCGUCGUAAAUACCUACUUAUAAGGAAAUAAAAUUAAAUAAUAAAAAACUAA